rnacentral:rRNA from 1 species
GUCUGGAAAGGCGCGCGAUACAGGGUGACAGCCCCGUACACAAAAAUGCACAUGCUGUGAGCUCGAUGAGUAGGGCGGGACACGUGGUAUCCUGUCUGAAUAUGGGGGGACCAUCCUCCAAGGCUAAAUACUCCUGACUGACCGAUAGUGAACCAGUACCGUGAGGGAAAGGCGAAAAGAACCCCGGCGAGGGGAGUGAAAAAGAACCUGAAACCGUGUACGUACAAGCAGUGGGAGCACGCUUCGGCGUGUGACUGCGUACCUUUUGUAUAAUGGGUCAGCGACUUAUAUUCUGUAGCAAGGUUAACCGAAUAGGGGAGCCGAAGGGAAACCGAGUCUUAACUGGGCGUUAAGUUGCAGGGUAUAGACCCGAAACCCGGUGAUCUAGCCAUGGGCAGGUUGAAGGUUGGGUAACACUAACUGGAGGACCGAACCGACUAAUGUUGAAAAAUUAGCGGAUGACUUGUGGCUGGGGGUGAAAGGCCAAUCAAACCGGGAGAUAGCUGGUUCUCCCCGAAAGCUAUUUAGGUAGCGCCUCGUGAAUUCAUCUCCGGGGGUAGAGCACUGUUUCGGCAAGGGGGUCAUCCCGACUUACCAACCCGAUGCAAACUGCGAAUACCGGAGAAUGUUAUCACGGGAGACACACGGCGGGUGCUAACGUCCGUCGUGAAGAGGGAAACAACCCAGACCGCCAGCUAAGGUCCCAAAGUCAUGGUUAAGUGGGAAACGAUGUGGGAAGGCCCAGACAGCCAGGAUGUUGGCUUAGAAGCAGCCAUCAUUUAAAGAAAGCGUAAUAGCUCACUGGUCGAGUCGGCCUGCGCGGAAGAUGUAACGGGGCUAAACCAUGCACCGAAGCUGCGGCAGCGACGCUUAUGCGUUGUUGGGUAGGGGAGCGUUCUGUAAGCCUGUGAAGGUGUGCUGUGAGGCAUGCUGGAGGUAUCAGAAGUGCGAAUGCUGACAUAAGUAACGAUAAAGCGGGUGAAAAGCCCGCUCGCCGGAAGACCAAGGGUUCCUGUCCAACGUUAAUCGGGGCAGGGUGAGUCGACCCCUAAGGCGAGGCCGAAAGGCGUAGUCGAUGGGAAACAGGUUAAUAUUCCUGUACUUGGUGUUACUGCGAAGGGGGGACGGAGAAGGCUAUGUUGGCCGGGCGACGGUUGUCCCGGUUUAAGCGUGUAGGCUGGUUUUCCAGGCAAAUCCGGAAAAUCAAGGCUGAGGCGUGAUGACGAGGCACUACGGUGCUGAAGCAACAAAUGCCCUGCUUCCAGGAAAAGCCUCUAAGCAUCAGGUAACAUCAAAUCGUACCCCAAACCGACACAGGUGGUCAGGUAGAGAAUACCAAGGCGCUUGAGAGAACUCGGGUGAAGGAACUAGGCAAAAUGGUGCCGUAACUUCGGGAGAAGGCACGCUGAUAUGUAGGUGAAGUCCCUCGCGGAUGGAGCUGAAAUCAGUCGAAGAUACCAGCUGGCUGCAACUGUUUAUUAAAAACACAGCACUGUGCAAACACGAAAGUGGACGUAUACGGUGUGACGCCUGCCCGGUGCCGGAAGGUUAAUUGAUGGGGUUAGCGCAAGCGAAGCUCUUGAUCGAAGCCCCGGUAAACGGCGGCCGUAACUAUAACGGUCCUAAGGUAGCGAAAUUCCUUGUCGGGUAAGUUCCGACCUGCACGAAUGGCGUAAUGAUGGCCAGGCUGUCUCCACCCGAGACUCAGUGAAAUUGAACUCGCUGUGAAGAUGCAGUGUACCCGCGGCAAGACGGAAAGACCCCGUGAACCUUUACUAUAGCUUGACACUGAACAUUGAGCCUUGAUGUGUAGGAUAGGUGGGAGGCUUUGAAGUGUGGACGCCAGUCUGCAUGGAGCCGACCUUGAAAUACCACCCUUUAAUGUUUGAUGUUCUAACGUUGACCCGUAAUCCGGGUUGCGGACAGUGUCUGGUGGGUAGUUUGACUGGGGCGGUCUCCUCCUAAAGAGUAACGGAGGAGCACGAAGGUUGGCUAAUCCUGGUCGGACAUCAGGAGGUUAGUGCAAUGGCAUAAGCCAGCUUGACUGCGAGCGUGACGGCGCGAGCAGGUGCGAAAGCAGGUCAUAGUGAUCCGGUGGUUCUGAAUGGAAGGGCCAUCGCUCAACGGAUAAAAGGUACUCCGGGGAUAACAGGCUGAUACCGCCCAAGAGUUCAUAUCGACGGCGGUGUUUGGCACCUCGAUGUCGGCUCAUCACAUCCUGGGGCUGAAGUAGGUCCCAAGGGUAUGGCUGUUCGCCAUUUAAAGUGGUACGCGAGCUGGGUUUAGAACGUCGUGAGACAGUUCGGUCCCUAUCUGCCGUGGGCGCUGGAGAACUGAGGGGGGCUGCUCCUAGUACGAGAGGACCGGAGUGGACGCAUCACUGGUGUUCGGGUUGUCAUGCCAAUGGCACUGCCCGGUAGCUAAAUGCGGAAGAGAUAAGUGCUGAAAGCAUCUAAGCACGAAACUUGCCCCGAGAUGAGUUCUCCCUGACUCCUUGAGAGUCCUGAAGGAACGUUGAAGACGACGACGUUGAUAGGCCGGGUGUGUAAGCGCAGCGAUGCGUUGAGCUAACCGGUACUAAUGAACCGUGAGGCUUAACCUUACAACGCCGAAG